rnacentral:misc_RNA from 1 species
AUGGAAAUUGAUACUCCCUCCAUCCUAUAAUAUAAGGGAUUUUAAGUUUUUGCUUACACUGUUUGACCAUUCGUCUUAUUCAAAAAAAUUUUACAAUUAUUAUUUAUUUUCUUUGUGACUUACUUUAUUAUUCCAAGUACUUUAAGCACAACUUUUCGUUUUUAUAUUUGCACAAAUUUGUUGAAUAAGACGAGUGGUCAAACAUUGCAAACAAAAACUCAAAAUCUCUUAUAUUAUAGGACGGAGGGAGUAAUAAAUAUUUAUCAUGU